rnacentral:tRNA from 1 species
GGAGAGGUGGCGAGCGUUCGAAGGCGCACGCCUGGAAGUGUGUGUAGGUCAAAAGCCUACCGUGGGUUGAAUCCCACUCUCUCCGCCA